AGUAGGGUAUAUCAGACGGCAGAUGGCGCGGUGCAUAUCCGCGAGGUCAAGGGUUCGAUUCCCUUUCCUGCUA
rnacentral:tRNA from 1 species